CCUACGGGUGGCAGCAGUGAGGAAUAUUGGUCAAUGGAUGAGAAUCUGAACCAGCCAAGUAGCGUGCAGGAUGACGGCCUAUGGGUUGUAAACUGCUUUUAUACGGGAAUAGGUACCGUAUGAAUAAGGACCGGCUAAUUCCGUGCCAGCAGCCGCGGUAAUACGGAAGGUCCGGGCGUUAUCCGGAUUUAUUGGGUUUAAAGGGAGCGUAGGCCGGCGCUUAAGCGUGCCGUGAAAUGUCCCGGCUCAACCGGGGCACUGCGGCGCGAACUGGGUGCCUUGAGUGCGCGGAACGUAUGCGGAAUUCGUGGUGUAGCGGUGAAAUGCUUAGAUAUCACGAAGAACUCCGAUUGCGAAGGCAGCAUACGGCAGCGCACUGACGCUGAAGCUCGAAGGUGCGGGUAUCGAACAGGAUUAGAUACCCUUGUAGUC
rnacentral:rRNA from 1 species